rnacentral:rRNA from 1 species
AUUGGGUAGGGGAGCGUUCUGUAAGCGGUUGAAGGUGUGUGGUAACGCAUGCUGGACGUAUCAGAAGUGCGAAUGCUGACAUGAGUAACGAUAAAGGGGGUGAAAAACCUCCUCGCCGGAAGACCAAGGGUUCCUGUCCAACGUUAAUCGGGGCAGGGUAAGUCGACCCCUAAGGCGAGGCCGAAAGGCGUAGUCGAUGGGAAACGGGUUAAUAUUCCCGUACUUCUUACAAUUGCGAUGGGGGG